rnacentral:rRNA from 1 species
GAUGAACGCUGGCGGCGUGCCUAAUACAUGCAAGUCGAGCGAACGGACGAGAAGCUUGCUUCUCUGAUGUUAGCGGCGGACGGGUGAGUAACACGUGGAUAACCUACCUAUAAGACUGGGAUAACUUCGGGGAACCGGAGCUAAUACCGGAUAAUAUUUUGAACCGCAUGGUUCAAAAGUGAAAGACGGUCUUGCUGUCACUUAUAGAUGGAUCCGCGCUGCAUUAGCUAGUUGGUAAGGUAACGGCUUACCAAGGCAACGAUGCAUAGCCGACCUGAGAGGGUGAUCGGCCACACUGGAACUGAGACACGGUCCAGACUCCUACGGGAGGCAGCAGUAGGGAAUCUUCCGCAAUGGGCGAAAGCCUGACGGAGCAACGCCGCGUGAGUGAUGAAGGUCUUCGGAUCGUAAAACUCUGUCAUUAGGGAAGAACAUAUGUGUAAGUAACUGUGCACAUCUUGACGGUACCUAAUCAGAAAGCCACGGCUAACUACGUG